rnacentral:miRNA from 1 species
AUGUUCUCUCGGCUGAGGAAC